CGGGGGGCAGCAGUGGGGAAUUUUGGACAAUGGGCGCAAGCCUGAUCCAGCCAUGCCGCGUGCGGGAAGAAGGCCUUCGGGUUGUAAACCGCUUUUGUCAGGGAAGAAAUCCUUUGAGUUAAUACCUCGAAGGGAUGACGGUACCUGAAGAAUAAGCACCGGCUAACUACGUGCCAGCAGCCGCGGUAAUACGUAGGGUGCGAGCGUUAAUCGGAAUUACUGGGCGUAAAGCGUGCGCAGGCGGUUAUGCAAGACAGAUGUGAAAUCCCCGGGCUCAACCUGGGAACUGCAUUUGUGACUGCAUAGCUAGAGUACGGUAGAGGGGGAUGGAAUUCCGCGUGUAGCAGUGAAAUGCGUAGAUAUGCGGAGGAACACCGAUGGCGAAGGCAAUCCCCUGGACCUGUACUGACGCUCAUGCACGAAAGCGUGGGGAGCAAACAGGAUUAGAUACCCGAGU
rnacentral:rRNA from 1 species